rnacentral:rRNA from 1 species
AUGGAGGCGGGUCGUGAUGAGGGAGUGCCUGCGGCCAGGAGGAGGAAGAAGAGGGCUCGGCAGGGUGUGUCGGAGCUCGACAGCGGGAAGUUCCGGGCGCGGAUCUGGGUCCCAGCGCAGCGAACCGCCAGGCACAUCGGCAUCUACUCCACCCUCGAGGAGGCCACCAUAGCCUACGACGAGGCGGACAUCAGGCUGUACGGCGCCGCGCCGGCUGGCCUCUACUUCCAGCACACGACCGGGCCGGCUGGUCUCCUGCGCGUCUCGUCCGCCGGCGAGGCCGAUGGUGGCGGCGCGCCGCUCCUGCGGGCCUCCUCCGCGGACAAGGCCGGUGAGGCCGAUGGCGGCCGCGGGCCGCUCCUGCGUGCGUCCUCCGCGGUCAAGACCGUCAACGCCGAGGCUCCUGCCGUGGGCGUCUCUUCCGCGGACAAGCACAGCACGCCUAACGAGGGCGAGGCGCCGCUCCUGCGCGUGUCCUGCGCGGACAAGGCCGGCGAGCCCAAUGGCGGCGCGCCGCUCCUCGGCGUGUCCUCCGCGGUGGCCGUCAACGCCGAGGUUCAUGUCGUGAGCGUCUCCUCCGCGGACAAGAGCGGCACGGCUGACGAGGGCGAGGCGCCGCUCUUGCGCGUGCCCUCCGCGGACAAGGUCGGCGAUGCCGAUGGCGUCGGCGGGCGGCUCCUGCACGGCUGCUGCACGGUUAAAGGCGUGAACUCUGAGGCUGUGGUCGUCAGCGUCUCCUCCGCGGAAGCCACGGCCGACCAGGGCGAGGCGCCGCUUCUGCGCGUGUCCUGCGCGGACAAGGGCAAGGCCGGGACGUGCCCAGGCAGGAAGCGGAAACAGGCCAGGCAGGAGGCAACUACCAAAUUUCGUGGCGUGCACCGGAGGCCAAGUGGAAAGUACGCGGCGCAGAUCAGACAGGGGAAGGAGACGAAGACUCGGUGGCUCGGCGUCUUCGACAUGGCCGAGGACGCCGCCAGAGCCUACGAUGCCGCGGCCAUCAAGCUGCACGGCGUCAAAGCAAAAACCAACUUCCAGCAGCCCGCCGCUCCUUCCGUUGAUGACGGGGAUGAGUCGACCGCGGACGUCAACGACCUCCUAUCCGUUGCCGGCGACAUCAUCUUCCCAGAGCUGCCGCCGCUGGACAUCCCAAUCACAGCAACAAGUGCGCAGUUUGAUGACAUUUUGAACAACCUGACACCGUCGGACAUAGAUGAGUUCUUCGAGGGUGUGGAUUUCACGUCCUAG